AAGUCGUAACAAGGUUUCCGUAGGUGAACCUGCGGAAGGAUCAUUAUAAAAUGCUUAAACGCAUCCACCUUUUGUGCAUUGUAAACUGUCCCUUUGGCGAUGCUUCGAAUUUUAAUGCGGUUGCAUUAUAAUUUGACUUGCAUUUAGGCCGGAUUCGCGUUUAGACGCGUUUUCCCGCCAGGGUGUCAAGCGGCUCGCCGAAGGAUUCUAUUAAACACUAUUUAAACUUGGCCUGAAUGUAUUUAUUCCUUCGAGAAUAAAAAAUCUUAAUAAAAUACAACUUUUAACAACGGAUCUCUUGGCUCUCC
rnacentral:misc_RNA from 1 species